rnacentral:rRNA from 1 species
CACAUGCAAGUCGAACGGAGUCAAGAGAAGCUUGCUUUUCUUGACUUAGUGGCGAACGGGUGAGUAACGCGUGAGUAACCUGCCCUGGAGUGGGGGACAACAGUUGGAAACGACUGCUAAUACCGCAUAAGCCCACGGCCCGGCAUCGGGCUGAGGGAAAAGGAUUUAUUCGCUUCAGGAUGGACUCGCGUCCAAUUAGCUAGUUGGUGAGGUAACGGCCCACCAAGGCGACGAUUGGUAGCCGGACUGAGAGGUUGAACGGCCACAUUGGGACUGAGACACGGCCCAGACUCCUACGGGAGGCAGCAGUGGGGGAUAUUGCACAAUGGGGGAAACCCUGAUGCAGCGACGCCGCGUGGAGGAAGAAGGUUUUCGGAUUGUAAACUCCUGUCGUUAGGGACGAUAAUGACGGUACCUAACAAGAAAGCACCGGCUAACUACGUGCCAGCAGCCGCGGUAAAACGUAGGGUGCAAGCGUUGUCCGGAAUUACUGGGUGUAAAGGGAGCGCAGGCGGACCGGCAAGUUGGAAGUGAAAACUAUGGGCUCAACCCAUAAAUUGCUUUCAAAACUGCUGGCCUUGAGUAGUGCAGAGGUAGGUGGAAUUCCCGG